CUCAGCCAGGUGAGGCUGGCCACACUUGGUACUGCACUCUCCAAAGAGGACACUGGACCAGUGAUGGUGAACCUUUCAUAGACCUGAGUGCUCCAACUGCAACCCUCAAGCUGCAUAAUGUCUUUGUGAGAAACUUUCUCUCCCAAUGGAAAGUGGAAACUUUCUUGCAUCAUAAAAUCUUAAACAUCUGUUUCCGCUAUGGAGAGAGUAAGUGAUUUGUGCAGCAUCACACAUUAAUGUAAAGGAGAGAAGAAAACUGAGGCCAACAGAACUUUGGUGACCUGCUCAGGGUCAGCCAGCCAGCCAGCCAGGAUUUGAAUUCGGGUCGUACUCAAUCCAGGUCCCUGGCUGCUUAAUGGGUGUUCGUUGUAUCGCACUGAAUGCUACAGAAGGCCGGCUUUUCCUCUCUGGGGGUUGGUAAUUGCCCAUGAAAACAAGGGGGCCCUUUUAAGAACAUACAGAAAAUCUACCGUGGAGAUAUAAAA